UUUGUAUUAUAAUUCUUAAAUAUGGCCUUGACAUUUUUGACAGCUGUAGGGAAAAUAUGACAAAAUGACGCAUUACCGUCAGUUUUUGACGUUUAACACUCACAUGCUUUAUGGUGAUAGCGUAUGAGCAAGUGAACUUUUUCUAAUAAAAAUGUGAACUUCAUAACCAAGAAAAGAACGAAUCAUGAAUUCAGGUGAUAUCAAUUUGACUUUCGCCCAUGUUUCAAAUGAAACCAUGACAAUGUUCAGUCAUAACAACACCCUGUCAGGUAUUGAUGACUUCACUCAAAAUGCCACAGAGAGCAGUUUUUACCUGGAUGGAAACAGUACACAUUCCCACACUUUUCCUUCUCUCUAUCAGAACGAUGAGACAAAUGGUCUUGGAACCCCUGUUACCAUAGCAAUAGCAUUAGGAUCGGCAGCAUUUGUAAUUAUCAUUGUGGUUGUUGUUGUGUGUUUUGUGAGGAGAAGAAUCAAGGAGAAAAAAUCUCGGACGUGGGUGGACAAUCUCACCCUAAGUUACAUCGCGGAUAGCAACGCCGAUCUCACCAAGGACAAUUUUGAUGAGAUGGUAUCCCUUGACAACGACAACUUCCUGAACAGCCUGGUAGAUGGGCAAGCAUUCUCUGUGUAUUCAUCAGGCAACAACACUCGACAUUACACCUACUCCUACUUCUGACCCUCAACAACGGUGGUGUCUGAUUCUUGUUGCAGUGGAGACAAUUUUAAUAUACUAGUAGAUCAUUAAUAAUACUUUUCUUAACGAAUGACUGACAUGUGAAAAUAAUUCAAAGCUAACAUUGUUCCACAAACCCAGAGGUAUAAUCAGUCAGUAGAAAUUUGUUUGCUCUGCCUUUGAGAUGUUUGUCAAAAGGUUUACAGUGGUUCAAGUGUAUUAUUCAACCAUUGCUAAUAGUGACCACUCCAAUAUAAACCUUACAAUUUGAAAACUCAAUUUAUAAUACAAAUGUGUUCUUGAACCUUUUGGAACAAUUCUGGUUAAUUUCUUAUCUUUGUUGUGAAGUGCAGAUACAUUUGUUGAAGUGAAAGCUAUGGAGGGGGGAAUACUGUUUAGUAAUUUGCCAUUGGUACGCUAGAUGAUAUUGUUCUGUGAACCCUUUGUUGAUGAUCAGAAGGUUGCAGAACACAAAUUAUUCUUUACCUUUUAAGCUGACCUGUGCACAAUAUGCUCAUGGCAAGCUUUUAUUAUCACCUUUUUGUCCGUCGUCUUUCCGCUUUUUGUCUUCUGAAUUCUCUAGAGGCUGCAUUUAUUUCCUAUCCUUCAUAUUCUACCCAACCUCUUGUCAGAACAUUUAGGCCAAUCAUGUCUUUGCCAAAAUUGAAAUUGGUUCAUGUGGGGGUCAAAAUCAAUGUCACAAUGUCCAAUGAAAGAAAAAGCUAAUGAACAUUAUGGAGGCUAUAUUUUUGCCCAAUGUUAAUGAAUGUCAGAAUAUUUAUCCAAAUGAUAUCUUGGUCAAGCUUGAAACUGGGUCAAAGUAACGGAAAAGCUUGUGAAUACUCUAGAGGCCACAGUUAUAGCCUAUUCUUCGUGAAACUGGAUCAAAAAUUUGUCCCAAUGAAAUAUCAGAUCAGAUUUAAACUGGGUCAUGUAGGGUUAAAACUUAGGUUGAUAGGUCAAAUUGAAGGAAAAGAUUGAGCUCUAUAAAAGUCACAUUUGUUUGCCUAAUCUUCAUGAAACUUGCUCUAAACAUUUGUUGUAAUUAUUUCUUAGCCAAGUUAGAGAUGAUUUAUGGCUAUGAAGCUUGGCAGUUUUGCAUACUGUAUACGGCUAUAUUUAAAAAUUUAACACUAUGAUGACAUAUUUUGACUGAAUCAUUGUAAAACUUACUCAAAACAUUAAGAUUUAAAAUUAGAUUUUUAACUAAGUUUGAAAAUUAUUGUGCUUUGUUCAAAAACAUGGCUGCUAGGUAUUAGGGAAGGUUUUUUUAAAACUCUAUUCUGAAACCACUGAAACCAUGUGAACAAUACCCUACUGGCUCAGAACAGUUAACCCUUUGCAUGCUGGGUAAUUUGUCGUCUGCUACAAUGUUGUCUGCUGAAUUUCUAAAAUUAGAAUUUUCUUCGAUUUUUUUUUCAAAGAAUACUAUCAGAAUAGCAACAGUUUGGAUCCUGAUGAGACGCCAUGUUCUGUGGCAUCUCAUCUGGAUCCAAACUGUUUGCAAAGGCCUUCAAAAUUCGGUUCCAGCACUGAAAGAGUUAAUUACCUUGUGGUCUCAGGUGAGUGACUGAGGGCUUAAGUCCUUUUGUUGCAAUAAUCUACGCAUUGAGGAUUGUUAGAGAAAGCAUUAAAAAAGCAUAUCAAAACCAGAAUGUUUAGAUUUGUUUCAUCCAUAUUGUCAUACAUUUUGCUACAGCAUUUUUCCACAAUGAUCUAUGUUUCAUAUGUUUAUGUGAAUCUUAAUCAGUAUCAUAUCUAAUAUGCCAAAAGUAUUUGGUUAAAUGAAUAUUUUAUAUUUAUAUUUGCAAUAUAAUUUUUACAAUUAUUUAUCCAAUUGUAUUUACAUGGAUUUUUUAUUCAAUCUAGUCACAGCAGUUGUGCUUUUGUGUAACUUUACAGUUUAGGGCUCGCAAUCUGAAGCAGAAAGGAUGUUUCCCUUAAUUAAAAUUUCUUUCCCCGCCUUAUACUAGUAUUGUUUGACAUUCCCACUGAAAUUUACAUCUUUAGACAAAACUAGUAUAAUAAAUUAUGUAAGAAUAUUAUAUUACAUUGAAUGAAACACUGCGAAAAAAUCUGUGGCUAUUGUGUUACAUUCCUCUAACUUAAAUUGUUAUUUACAUUCCUGAUAUUGUGUUACAUGUUGGUAUUUGUUAUUAAAAUUAUGUUUAUUGUAAUGUACAUUCCUGUUCAUUUUUCAGUGUUCAGUUAUAUAAACAUAUAUUUUAUUAUUUGUAUUUAUUUCAAUAGAAAUGGUUUCUAUUAAUGCAAAUAAUGAAAUGUUUAGAGCAAGGUUUAUCUUCAUUCUUAUUAUCCAUAAAGAAUUUAUCCUAUUUACAUUGAUAUGCUGUUUACCAUAACAGUUUUCUUCAUGUGUGACAUCGUCAACCAUUGCAAGUAAAUCCAGGGUCAUUUUUUCUAUUCAUCACAUUGUUGAAUCUUAUGCCAGAUAUUGUUUCAAUUAAUAUACAAUAUGAAGCUUAAAAUACAGUCGUAGUUUUCAGUCUAACAGGAUUUUUUUCGUUGAGAUUUAUGCUUUGUUGUUAUGCAGACUUUGUAUUUUUGUUAGCUCACUUGAGAGAAAAUGCUCAAGGUGAGUUGUUGUGAUCACCCAAUGUUCUGUGUCUGGUACUGUGCAUCAUUGUGUGCAUCAACUUUAAGCCUGUUAUCACCCUUUAGGUCUCUUUUUUUCAAUCUUGAUGAAACUUUAUCAAACUAUUUAUUGGUACUUUAUCUAGAUUUAUAUUACCUGAUUUUAAUAACUAGGUCACUAGGAUAUAUAUAUUUGAUAAAACCAUAUCACUUUGGAAGCUACAUUUAAUUGCAGUCUUGAUGGAACAUUCUCAGAAUUUUUUGUUCUAUUAAAUCCUGGUAAUGUUUCUCCAAAAACAAGGUCACCAGAUGAAGUGUUAAAAAACUUUGAUACCACUGUAAGAUUUUCAUUAAAGUUUUAAUUAAACAUUGUCAUAAUAAAAUAAUUAAUCCAAAAUCUGAAAGUUCUCAUGUGAAUCCAAAAACUAGGUCGUCAGGUUAAAUUUGAGACAAGUCUUUUAGCUACUCUUGAAACAAUAUUUAUAUUUAUGACUCAAUCUUAAUUUAUGUUUGUGCAAAUAUUCAUCAUGACAAUAUCUAGACCAAGUUAGCAACUCAAGUGCUUCCAAAAUCUAUGACACCAGGUUCAGUCUCUUAGCAACCAUUUAAACUAAUCUAGAAGCCAUGUUUAUUACACAAUCUCUAUACAACUCGGUCAGAAUGUUUAUCUUGACAAUAUAAAAGCCAAGUUUCUAUCUAGAUCAGUUUUAUUAAAAAAUAGGUCAUCAGGUACAGCAGAGAAAAAGCGUUUUUGAGGUCUUAUUUAUGACUUGAUGAAACUUGGACAGAAUGUUUUUAUUAAAACUAGCAAGGUCAAGUUCCAAUCUAGGUUAUCUGUUCCAAAACUAGGUCACCAGGCCAAAUCUUAAUACAACCUUGUAACCUCUAUAGAAGCCACAUUUAUUUCACAAUUGUGAUGAAUCUUAAUCAGAAUGUUUAUUUUUACAUAUUUAAGCCAAGUUUGAAUCGGAAUCCCGUGUUCAAAAGUAAGGUAAUAAAAUCAAAUCUUACAAAACCAAGUUUACAACAUAAGGCACCUUUAUGCCUCAUGUUCAAUGAAAAAAAAGGUCAGAAUGUUUAUUUUGACAAUAUCAAGGUUAUGUUCAAAUCAGGGUCAAGUGGGGUCAAAUACUAUGUCACGAGGUCAAGUUUAUGACAAUUGUUAUACCUUUAAUUCAGGUGAGAGCUUCAGGAUUCCUCUUGACAUGUUGAUUAACCCCCCCCCCCCCCAUAAGAAGCAAAGUGAAAAUGGCUUUUACAACCAGCAUAAAACCAGAACAGCCUGUGAGUAACUCGCAGUCUGUUCAGGUUUUAUGCUCUUUGCUGCUCAUCAGUAUCUAAUGGUUGGAAAUGAAGCAUUUCAAACUUGAAUUUAGUAAGAAGGUAUUUAAUUGAAUUUUACUUUCUACUGGACAACAAAUGCGUCAAAAAUAUAUCUAUGUGGAAAAGGGUUAAAAGAAAAUAGUAUGAGCAAAAGCAUGUAUAAUUUUGCUUGACACUCAUUAUUUUUUGUGUUAAAAUGUAACCAGUUAUUUUAUGUAAGUACACAUAUCUAUUCGGGUCAUUCCAAUAAGCAGGGUUAUCAACAUGACUUUUUUGUAAUUUAUUUUUGUGUAUAAACACUUUCAUGGUAAUUAAUAUGCAUCUUUUGAGUUAUCACGUUUGGAUAUGAAAUCUUAUGAUAUAUUAUGUAAGAUGUAAUCUUAGAAAUAAUAACUGACACAUAUUUCAGAUCAAAAGAUUACUUAACUGUGUUAUUUUUAUUUUGUUGUGAUACAUUAGUUACACAUAACAUCAAUAUUCAUUAUUUUUAAAAUGGCAGGAACCUUCAUUUUAAAACUGCAUGAUUUUGAAUCAUGCAUGGUUUUCACCAAAAAUCCCUUAUUUUCAAUUACAAGAAACUUUACUGUUUCAUCAACACUGAGGUAAAUUAUGUUAUUUUUAUUUAAUUGUAAUCUUGACAAAAAAGUUUUGCAAAUUAUUUUUAAAUAAGCAUACACACAUGCACUUAACAUAUGUUAGUUCAAUGUAUAUUGUUUAAAUCAAAGUAGGUAUGUUAUUAUCUAAAAAAAAAGGUAAUAAGCAUGUAUUUAAAGAAAGGGGGCACUGCAAUACUAUGUAUGUCUUGUAGUUGAGAUCGUAGUCAUAAGUUUAUGUUUUUUAAUUGUUUUAUGUAUGUUAAAGGUGCUGAUUAUUGAAUUUGUUCUCUGUAUUUACAUGUUUACAUGCGAUGAUAUAUAACAACUUUGACAGUCAAUUAUUUAUACUGCUCCUCCAUGUGUUAUUAACCCAUUUAUGCCUAGCGUAUUGAAAAAAGGCCUUUGCAAACAGUGUAGACCCAGAUGAGACGCCACAUGAUGCGGCGUCUCAUCUGGGUCUGUGCUGUUUGCUUAAAGGAAUUUUGUAAGAAAUAUUCUAAAUAAAGAAAUAAAAAUACUAGACAUCCCUAA